CCUACGGGAGGCAGCAGUGGGGAAUAUUGCACAAUGGGGGAAACCCUGAUGCAGCGACGCCGCGUGAGUGAAGAAGUAUUUCGGUAUGUAAAGCUCUAUCAGCAGGGAAGAAGAAAGACGGUACCUAACUAAGAAGCCCCGGCUAAAUACGUGCCAGCAGCCGCGGUAAUACGUAGGGGGCAAGCGUUAUCCGGAUGUACUGGGUGUAAAGUGAGCGUAGACGGCUGUGCAAGUCUGAAGUGAAAGCCCAGGGCUCAACCCUGGGACUGCUUUGGAAACUGUGGAGCUAGAGUGCUGGAGAGGUAAGUGGAAUUCCUAGUGUAGCGGUGAAAUGCGUAGAGAUUAGGAGGAACACCAGUGGCGAAGGCGGCUUACUGGACAGUAACUGACGUUGAGGCUCGAAAGCGUGGGGAGCAAACAGGAUUAGAUACCCCAGUAGUC
rnacentral:rRNA from 1 species